AAACCUACCCCUGGUAGGGGUAACCUACCAUGAUCCCAAAGGUGGUUUUCCCAGGGCAAGGCUUAUCCAUUGCACUCCAGAUGUGCUGACCCCUGUGAUUUCCCCAAAUGUGGGAAACUUGACACAUACUUUGUGAUCGCAGGGGACUGCAUUCAUGCUCUCCCCUG